UUCUAGUUUUAAAGAAAUAACAUUGCAUGAUAUAAUAUGGCAUUAACAAGUACCAUCAUACAAUAUCAAAGGAUAGGGUGAAACCUUCUCCUCUUUUGGAUAGUUAGAAGCUAGCUGAAAUCUUUACUACUGGAACCAUACUUGGUGGUUACUUGGCAAUGAUGGCAAUUAUUUUCUUUUGGACAACAUACAAGACAGACUUCUUUGCUUGAGCAUUGGAUGUUGAUAUUAUUGGUGCCCGACUCUUAUUGGUUAUGUUUCAUGGAUCCUAAAAACUCACACUUGAGUAAUCGACCUGAUAUUAGAGAAACGGUCACAUUGGUAUUUCAAACUUACUACAGUGCGAUAAGGAAAGAAAUUCCACCGAAGCUAAAAGUUCGACGCCCAACUUGUUCACAUCAAUCGGAAGACACCGAAUGUGGAUAUUAUGUAAUGAAGAUGAUGAAAGAUUUAAUUCAAGCUUCGAAUCGGAAACACUUUUUGGCCGAGUUAAGUGAUGCAAAGUAUACAGAAGAAAAAAUUGAUGAAGUGAAAGAGCAUUGGGCAAGUGAGAUAUUAUCGGUUAUUCAAACUUACCGACGUUAGUUGUUUUUUGUUUUAAUAGGGCAAGUGAGAUGUUAUCGGUUAUUCAAACUUACCGAUGUUAGUUGUUUUUUGUUUUAAUAGAUCAAUAGUUAUUAUAUAAUUUUAUAGUUAUGGAUUUAUUAGUAUAAUGAACUAAUAUGUAAUAUUUAUUAAUUUUGUUGAUGUUAAUUAUUAUAAUGGUCUAAUUUAUAAAUUUUAUAUUUAGUCAAUUAAAAUUAUUAUUGUUAUA